UACAGAGGGUGCGAGCGUUGUUCGGAAUUACUGGGCGUAAAGCGCGCGCAGGCGGCCCUUUAAGUCCGUCGGUCAAAUGCCGGGGCUCAACCCCGAUGCAUGCCGAGGAUACUGGAGGGCUGGAGACACGUAGAGGCAAGCGGAAUUCCGGGUGUAGCGGUGGAAUGCGUAGAGAUCCGGAAGAACACCGGUGGCGAAGGCGGAUCUCUGGGCCUUACCUGACGCUCAGGUGCGAAAGCUAGGGGAGCGAACAGG
rnacentral:rRNA from 1 species